GGUUAGGUAAUAGCCAUAAUGGUUUGCAUGCUGGACUACAACUCUGGAGACCAGGGUUCGAUUCCCAGCUCGGCCA